rnacentral:rRNA from 1 species
GACGAACGCUGGCGGCGUGCCUAAUACAUGCAAGUUGAGCGCUGAAGGUUGGUACUUGUACCAACUGGAUGAGCAGCGAACGGGUGAGUAACGCGUGGGGAAUCUGCCUUUGAGCGGGGGACAACAUUUGGAAACGAAUGCUAAUACCGCAUAAAAACUUUAAACACAAGUUUUAAGUUUGAAAGAUGCAAUUGCAUCACUCAAAGAUGAUCCCGCGUUGUAUUAGCUAGUUGGUGAGGUAAAGGCUCACCAAGGCGAUGAUACAUAGCCGACCUGAGAGGGCGAUCGGCCACAUUGGGACUGAGACACGGCCCAAACUCCUACGGGAGGCAGCAGGAAGGAAUCUUCGGCAAUGGACGAAAGUCUGACCGAGCAACGCCGCGGGAGUGAAGAAGGUUUUCGGAUCGUAAAACUCUGUUGGUAGAGAAGAACGUUGGUGAGAGUGGAAAGCUCAUCAAGUGACGGUAACUACCCAGAAAGGGACGGCUAACUACGUG